rnacentral:sRNA from 1 species
UUAUAGCCCGGAUAGAAAUGGAAAUCCUUUUUGUAAGAGCUUGCCUUUUGGCGCGUUCUUGCAAAAAAGAUUGUAAUGGAUAGCCGGAACCAUC